AAAGUGAGGCUAGUGACUUUGCACAGCCCUCCCUCACUUAACAGCGAGUCACUUGCAUGUUAGAGAAAAACAAGGCAUAAUCCCUGCACUCAGGACAUACCAGUACUACCAGGCUUGGGGAGUGCCUGAAAGAAAAAAUCAAGAGCUGGAGUUUGAUCCCUGCAUCACAGAUUCUACCUGGAGUAAGUGGCACCCCCUGAAUCUGGAAAAUGUCUGCAGAAUCCAGGGAGGCUACAUCCCUGACCUCUGGACCUCCACAGGAACAAGAGAGACGUCUAAAAAUGGAGCUGGGGGAGGUUUGUGCCUGGGAACAGGAAUCAGACCUACAGUGGAACGUACCCUUUGAUAGGGAGAUUUUUCGCCAACGUUUUAGGCAUUUCUGCUAUGAGGAGACCCCUGGACCACGUGAAGCUCUGAACCAACUCAGAGACCUUUGUCAGAAGUGGUUGAGACCAGAUAUUCAUACAAAGGUGCAAAUCCUAGAGCUACUAGUACUGGAACAGUUCUUGACCAUCCUGCCUGAAGAACUACAAGCCUGGUUGCAGGAGCACCAUCCAAAGAGUGGGGAACAGGCAGUGACUAUGUUGGAGGAUUUAGAGCAAGAGCUUGAUGAGCCAGAUCAGCAGGUUAGAGCCUCUACCUGCAGAAAAGAGGAGAUUUUAGAGGAGUCAACACUUCUAGGAACAUUACAGAAGUCCUCUUGUGUUCAGCACCAGGCUUUGAAGGCCCAACUCAAAUGCGAAUCACCAGAAUCUUACUUCCAACCAGAAAGAGGUGGUGAUAAUCAGACUGAGGAACACUUAACUCCAAAGCAGGAAAUUUCUACAGAAAAAGAACUAUGUGAGGAAGUCUCUGGAAAUCUUAAUGGCAAUAUUCCACAGGUUUCAGAGUGUAAUAAACACCUUAAGGGCCGAUUAAGAAAAAAGAAGGAAAAUCUGCUGGGCCAGAGACAACAUAAAGAUAAUGAAUGGGGGAAAAAUUUCACUUGGAGCUCAGGCUUUAUUAGGAAUCAAAGCACCUACUCUAUAGAAAAACCCUAUGGGUGUGAUACAUGUGAGAAAGCCUUCAGUCAGAGCUCACAUCUUCUUAAUCAUCAGAGAAUUCAUUCUGGAGAGAAACCCUAUGAAUGUCAGGAGUGUGGGAAAGCCUUCAAUUAUAGCUCACACCUUAUUCUACAUCGGAGAAUCCACACUGGGGAGAAGCCUUAUGAGUGUGUUGAGUGUGGGAAAUCCUUUAGUCAAAGUUCAAGCCUUAUUCAGCAUCAGAGAAUCCACACUGGGGAGAAACCCUAUCCGUGUAAUCAGUGUAGUAAAAGUUUCAGUCGAAGCUCAAACCGCAUUUUACAUCAGAGAAUACACACAGGAGAGAAACCUUAUGAAUGUGAUAAGUGUGGGAAAGCCUUCAGACAGAAAUCUGCCCUUGUUCUACAUCAGAGAAUCCAUACAGGAGAGAAACCUUAUGAAUGUGAAGAAUGUGGGAAAGCCUUCAGUCAGAGUACAAACCUUAUUAAACAUCAGAGAAGCCACAGUGGAGAAAAAAUCCUUUCAGCAUCUUGAUAUAAAUGUGAUGAAUGUGGUAAAAAUUUCAGUCAAAGCUCAGCCCUUAUUCUUCAUCAGAGAAUCCACAGUGGAGAGAAACCCUAUGAAUGUGAUGAGUGUGCAAAAGCUUUCAGCAGAAGCUCAAUUCUUAUUCAACAUCGAAGAAUCCACACUGGGGAAAAACCUUAUAUAUGUCAUGAAUGUGGGAAAGCAUUCAGCCAAAAUUAUUCCCUUAUUCUACACCAGAGAAUCCACAGUGGGGAGAAACCCUAUGAAUGUGAUGAGUGUGGGAAAGCCUUCAGCCGGAGUUCAAUCCUUAUUCAACAUCAGAGAAUCCACACUGGAGAAAAACCAUAUAAGUGUCAUGAAUGUGGGAAAGCUUUCAGUCAGAAUUCUGGGCUUAUUAAUCAUCAGAGAAUCCAUACUGGGGAAAAACCCUACGAAUGUAGUGAGUGUGGGAAAGCUUAUAGUCAAAGCUCAAAUCUUUUUAGGCAUCAGCGAAGACACAGUGAAGAAAAAAUCCUAUCAAUGUCAUGAAUGUGUAAAAAUAUUCUUUUAGACCUUGGGCCUUUUUCAUCAGAAAAGAAGGUGUAAUGGGGGAAAGAGGGAAUCAGUUUAGCUUUAGUGGACUAAAUAGUUUCCUCUUAACAUCAGAAUAGCCCCUGUGGAAAAUGAGGGAGAUCUUCAGUCAUUAUUUCUACUUUAUGUUGUCAUACCUUUCUAUAAACUCUCAGAAUCUUAACCUUAUUUUUGAUAUUUAUUCCUGAAUUUCCUGUUUGUAAACAUGUCUCCUCUGCCUGCCCCAUUUCAAAGCUUCCAUGUUAAGAAAGUCAGUUGUUUCUGUAUUGAGAAUAUGAGUCCCUUCAAAGACAGAUUUUUGUGUCCUGUUAAAAAUGUAACACCAAAACUCUAAAGACCAUAUCCCAGAAGCACCAUUUCUGACUCUUAAAUUAUGUCGUCUUAUAUCAAAAUCUUGUUGGUAAAUUAGGCUCUAGGAAUUUAAUAGGUAGCUCAAAAGAAAGAGAUAGACCUUUAAAUACAGAACAAAAGAAAAUUAGUAUACAUUUAUUAAGUGCCUACAAUGUGCUAGGCACUGUGCCAAGGUCUGGGCAUAGAGUCAAAAAACUAUACCUGCUUUCAAGGGGCUCACAGAACCCACAAACAAAUGUGUACAAACAAGCUAUAUACAGGAUAAAAGAGGCAUUAAGAGAGAUUGAGAAAAGUUUCUUGGAGAAGAUGGAUUUUUGUUGGAACUUGAUGGAAGCCAGUAGGCAGAGAUGAGAGGGAAAGCAUUCCAGGCAUGGGGUACAAGGCCAGUGUCACUGGAUUGAAGAGUGUGUAUAGCAAGGAGUAAGGUGUAAGAAGAAUGAAAAUGGGUGGGGAUCAAGGGUGUGUUGCCCCUUGCAGUGCCAAACAGGAUUAUGAUUUGAUGGGGGAGGUAUUAAGGAGCCACUGGAAUUUAUUGAGUAGUGAGAUGACAGGGGUCAGAGUCAAACAUUGAAAAGCAGACAUGGCAUUUAAAUCAGGAACAGGAUAAACUCUGUUACUGAAUAAGGAUUGAUUGAUAAUAAGUAAGACUCCAUGCAUUAAGGAUACAGUUAUCUAACUUUAAAAAAUGUCCAAAGCUGUCUAAUUUGUAGACAGUUUACUGAUGAAAUUACAGUAUCAACAUAUAUCUUAUCAGGAAAUAGUCGAUUAAAAUAUAACUAUAAGAUGGGAAAUUAUAGGAUAUUAUGAGAAUAUGUUGAAUGACACAUGUUAGCAGGAUAAUGGUGUCUUCCAACUCAUUUUGGAGUCUAAAAAUAAGGAUAGUUGGAGAAUAAGAUUUAUCAUCAUGUCUCUAGCACUGUCUAAUUGAUAAUGAAGUACCUACUAUGUGCCUAGCCCUUUGCUAAUCACUGGACAUAAAAAUAACUAAUUCCAACUUCCAAGGAGCUGUUACUCUAAUGUGGAAGGGAAGAAGUUCACUGGGCAGUGCUAGCUGCUGGCAUAAGUAUCUAGUCAGUCCAGCCAAGACAUCUCUAUAGAUGAGAACCACUGAGAUUGAAAAAGUAGUGAGCACCCAUUGUGUAUAAAGCACUGUGCAAGUUCCUCACUAUUACUGUAGCUUGGUACCUACCACUAUGAAUCAUGAGCUGGUUUGCUACUACAAAUCAGUGUCUUGAGAGUGUAGGGGAGUGUAGACUAUUUUUCUUCCCUAGGGUGUAAUUAUUGCUGAGUAAGCUGAUCCCUUAGACCUAAUGCAACCGCCAGAAAUCUAGGGGUUUUGGCUUAAAAGAGCCUGGGAGCAUCUCCAAGCUGAAGCUGCUCUCUGUUGCGAGUUCUAAGGCUUUUCAAAAGAUCUUGUCUUAAUGCCCACCCCUCAGUCACCAGGUACACUUAAAGUUACACCUUUAUGUUUCAUUGAUCAUGUGUUCUUAUUAAAAAUAAAAUCCCUGGUUUGUUCAUGUCUAAAAUAUCCAUCAGACUUCAUGAAACUAACCUAUAGGGUCAUUAGAAUAAUACACAUAUUAUUAGUCAGUAGACUACGUACUCCAUGACUCUGUAUCCCAGGUUCAUUGCUCAGUGGAAAACACCAGUAGCAAAAUAAGGCUAUGAAAAAAAGGUAGGUAACAUUCUUGUAGUGACCAUUUGAUGCUGACCCUUUUGAAUUUUAAUCAUUUUAGUCUCGAAAAUACUUAUCUAAUGCUUGGAGUGCCUUCAAAAUAAAAUGAGAUUGUCGUGGGCCAGUUAAAAAUAGUGGUAAAUAAAAGGCCAGCAGGUGGAGAAGUGGAUGCAAAAAGGAGCUUGUUAGUAGAUCUGCUGAUCGUGAUUAACUAAGAAAUGUGCUUUAUAGAUUUAACAGUACAAAUAUGUAUUGAUACUAUGUAUUUUAAGUUAUAAAAGGGUCUUUUGCUUGGGACUCAUUCUCCUUGUAGCUGCUGAAAGAGAACAAGUGGUGUCUAAUAAAGCUAUGAACUCUCCCUGAAA